UACGUAGGGUGCAAGCGUUGUCCGGAAUUAUUGGGCGUAAAGAGCUCGUAGGCGGUCUGUCGCGUCUGCUGUGAAAACUCAGGGCUUAACCCUGAGCUUGCAGUGGGUACGGGCAGACUGGAGGUAUGCAGGGGAGAACGGAAUUCCUGGUGUAGCGGUGAAAUGCGCAGAUAUCAGGAGGAACACCGGUGGCGAAGGCGGUUCUCUGGGCAUGUCCUGACGCUGAGGAGCGAAAGCAUGGGGAGCGAACAGG
rnacentral:rRNA from 1 species